rfam:Spraguea lophii 42_110 Contig_1727, whole genome shotgun sequence.
GCUUCCAUAGCUCAGUCGGUUAGAGCACAGUGCUAAUAACGCUGGGGUCCUAGGUUCGAAUCCCAGUGGAAGCA